ACUUCUCUAAUAAACUUGCUUUUACUUUAUUCUGCGGAUUUGCCCCGAAUUCUUUCUUGUGUGAGAUGCAAGAACUCUCUCUUGGGGUCUGGAUUGGGACCCCUUUCUGGUAACAAAGACCCCAUGGACCAAGGGCAUAAAAAGAAGGGAUGUCUAAGACUUGCUGGUUCUAUGGCAGGCAGAGGCAGAAAGAGCCCCACCAUCAUUCCCAGCAAAUGGGAAAAGUUCCCAGUUGCAGAUAUUAGGGGUGGGAUGGGGCGGGGGUAGUCAGCAACCAUAGACUUAGACCCUGAAGAGGCAAAAAAGGAGGGCCAUGUUCUUGGGUCAGCAGAGCUUCUACUCAGCUUCUUCAGCCUCUAGCUCUUUCCUGGUGCUAGUAGCACAUUCUCUAGUGGAGGCAUCCAGAUGGCAGGGAGGGUCCAG
rnacentral:lncRNA from 1 species